UUUUUCCGAUAAUUUCUAGGUACUCUCAACAAUGUAGAUCUGAUCUGGGUUUCUGAGAAAAUGCUUCCCUAUUGGCUUAUCUUCUGAUAUGCCUCAAAAAAAUGAAAAUAAAAUGGUUACUCUGGGGAUAUUUUACACAAUGAAUUUAUAAAAUGUUUCAUGACGCUUUAUUAAAUACCCUUCUCGGUAACUGUUACCAUUUUUUCUUUUCACACUUGGUUUUUGUAAAGACAGAUCGAAAUCAGGAAAUUUCAAGAGCCUACUUAACUCUACUUAAUCUACACUGAUUAAGAUAGUGCAUGCCUUAAUAUCAACUUCUGAAGUGAAUCAUUCAAAUACAGGCGUCGGCGCCUCUUCCAAAUUGGUAUUUCAUUGGGUGUGCGGUCGUUAAUGUACUUUUGCCACUGGAAUAAAAUAAAUUCUAGUUUUCAUGUGAUCCUUGUCAUAUUAGAUAUUUGCAUAUCGAUUAAAUUCGAAUUUUAAUUUCUGUUUCAUUAAGGAAAUUCUUUUUAAUCCACAUUGUGGAGAACGUCUAGAGGUUGUUGAAUGUCACAGUGGCUUUUAGCGAAACGCCUACAAAUGUACUCAUG